rnacentral:rRNA from 1 species
GAUGAACGCUGGCGGCGUGCCUAAUACAUGCAAGUCGAACGCUUUGUGGUUCAACUGAUUUGAAGAGCUUGCUCAGAUAUGACGAUGGACAUUGCAAAGAGUGGCGAACGGGUGAGUAACACGUGGGAAACCUACCUCUUAGCAGGGGAUAACAUUUGGAAACAGAUGCUAAUACCGUAUAACAAUGACAACCGCAUGGUUGUUAUUUAAAAGAUGGUUCUGCUAUCACUAAGAGAUGGUCCCGCGGUGCAUUAGCUAGUUGGUAAGGUAAUGGCUUACCAAGGCGAUGAUGCAUAGCCGAGUUGAGAGACUGAUCGGCCACAAUGGGACUGAGACACGGCCCAUACUCCUACGGGAGGCAGCAGUAGGGAAUCUUCCACAAUGGGCGAAAGCCUGAUGGAGCAACGCCGCGUGUGUGAUGAAGGGUUUCGGCUCGUAAAACACUGUUGUAAGAGAAGAAUGACAUUGAGAGUAACUGUUCAAUGUGUGACGGUAUCUUACCAGAAAGGAACGGCUAAAUACGUGCCAGCAGCCGCGGUAAUACGUAUGUUCCAAGCGUUAUCCGGAUUUAUUGGGCGUAAAGCGAGCGCAGACGGUUAUUUAAGUCUGAAGUGAAAGCCCUCAGCUCAACUGAGGAAUUGCUUUGGAAACUGGAUGACUUGAGUGCAGUAGAGGAAAGUGGAACUCCAUGUGUAGCGGUGAAAUGCGUAGAUAUAUGGAAGAACACCAGUGGCGAAGGCGGCUUUCUGGACUGUAACUGACGUUGAGGCUCGAAAGUGUGGGUAGCAAACAGGAUUAGAUACCCUGGUAGUCCACACCGUAAACGAUGAGUGCUAGGUGUUUGAGGGUUUCCGCCCUUAAGUGCCGCAGCUAACGCAUUAAGCACUCCGCCUGGGGAGUACGACCGCAAGGUUGAAACUCAAAGGAAUUGACGGGGACCCGCACAAGCGGUGGAGCAUGUGGUUUAAUUCGAAGCAACGCGAAGAACCUUACCAGGUCUUGACAUCCCUUGACAACUCCAGAGAUGGAGCGUUCCCUUCGGGGACAAGGUGACAGGUGGUGCAUGGUUGUCGUCAGCUCGUGUCGUGAGAUGUUGGGUUAAGUCCCGCAACGAGCGCAACCCUUAUUACUAGUUGCCAGCAUUCAGUUGGGCACUCUAGUGAGACUGCCGGUGACAAACCGGAGGAAGGUGGGGAUGACGUCAAAUCAUCAUGCCCCUUAUGACCUGGGCUACACACGUGCUACAAUGGCGUAUACAACGAGUUGCCAACCCGCGAGGGUGAGCUAAUCUCUUAAAGUACGUCUCAGUUCGGAUUGUAGGCUGCAACUCGCCUACAUGAAGUCGGAAUCGCUAGUAAUCGCGGAUCAGCACGCCGCGGUGAAUACGUUCCCGGGUCUUGUACACACCGCCCGUCACACCAUGAGAGUUUGUAACACCCAAAGCCGGUGGGGUAACCUUCGGGAGCCAGCCGUCUAAGGUGGGACAGAUGAUUAGG